rnacentral:rRNA from 1 species
GAUGAACGCUGGCGGCGUGCCUAAUACAUGCAAGUCGAGCGAACGGACGAGAAGCUUGCUUCUCUGAUGUUAGCGGCGGACGGGUGAGUAACACGUGGAUAACCUACCUAUAAGACUGGGAGAACUUCGGGAAACCGGAGCUAAUACCGGGUAAUAUUUUGAACCGCAUGGUUCAAAAGUGAAAGACGGUCUUGCUGUCACUUAUAGAUGGGUCCGCGCUGCAUUAGCUAGUUGGUAAGGUAACGGCUUACCAAGGCAACGAUGCGUAGCCGACCUGAGAGGGUGAUCGGCCACACUGGAACUGAGACACGGUCCAGACUCCUACGGGAGGCAGCAGUAGGGAAUCUUCGGCAAUGGGCGAAAGCCUGACCGAGCAACGCCGCGUGAGUGAUGAAGGUCUUCGGAUCGUAAAACUCUGUUAUUAGGGAAGAACAUCUGUGUAAGUAACUGUGCACGUCUUGACGGUACCCAAUCAGAAAGCCACGGCUAACUACGUG